GCUGCCAUCGUCUAGUGGUUAGGACGAGAGAUUUUCAUUCUCUAAACUCGGGUUCGAUUCCCGGUGGUAGUA
rnacentral:tRNA from 1 species